GUCAUUUGUUGAAUGGGACAUGAGGGCACCAUUAGAGGUCAUAUACGAAGCUUACGAAGGUGAAGAAGAUGAAGAGAAUGACAAUGAGAAGCAUGAGGAUUCUGAUCCUACCAGGACUGCAGCUUUGGAGAGGUACCCAUCUUUNAUGUACUAUCCAGAAACGGACUCGGAUACCUCCUCUGAUGGCGGUUUUUUGGUGAACGGAGAAUGGGAUUCCCCGGAGAGCGUUUGCUUUAGAUGGGAAGAGGAAGAUAAAGCGGG
rnacentral:misc_RNA from 1 species